AUGCCAUGAACUUUUAUAAUAACUCCUUGAAUAGCUCCCAUGCCUCAUAUAAAGGUUCUUCUUCAAGUUGCUGAAAUGAAGUGAUUUCAUUUUAGAUCUU
rnacentral:snoRNA from 1 species